CGAGAUAGCUCAGUUGGUAGAGCAGCCGCUUCGUAAGCGGCAGGUCGUGGGUUCGACCCCCAUUCUCG
rnacentral:tRNA from 1 species